AGUGAACGCUGGCGGUAGGCCUAACACAUGCAAGUCGAACGGCAGCACAGUAAGAGCUUGCUCUUACGGGUGGCGAGUGGCGGACGGGUGAGGAAUACAUCGGAAUCUACUUUUUCGUGGGGGAUAACGUAGGGAAACUUACGCUAAUACCGCAUACGACCUACGGGUGAAAGCAGGGGAUCUUCGGACCUUGCGCGAUUGAAUGAGCCGAUGUCGGAUUAGCUAGUUGGCGGGGUAAAGGCCCACCAAGGCGACGAUCCGUAGCUGGUCUGAGAGGAUGAUCAGCCACACUGGAACUGAGACACGGUCCAGACUCCUACGGGAGGCAGCAGUGGGGAAUAUUGGACAAAGGGCGCAAGCCUGAUCCAGCCAUACCGGGUGGGUGAAGAAGGCCUUCGGGUUGUAAAGCCCUUUUGUUGGGAAAGAAAAGCAGCAGGUUAAUACCCCGCUGUUCUGACGGUACCCAAAGAAUAAGCACCGGCUAACUUCGUG
rnacentral:rRNA from 1 species